AAGCACUUGAGGAAAGGAUUGGUGAGAUAAGAAGAGUGGUUAUCCUGACAUGCUCCAGCAGCUCAAAGCAAGACUGGCCUGCAACUCCAUGACCCAUUUUUGGAGCCUCGUGAGAUAUAGAGACUGAAAUGAGCAGACAGAACUUAAACAGACUGUUUACAGUACAGGUAGCUCCAGUUGGAUCUGGGGCGUAGCUUGCCCAUCCCACAACAGGCAUGGAAGCC